AAAACGAAAUAAACCAGUGCAGACGGUGAACGAUUAAAAAAGAUUUAACGACUUUUCCCAGUUUACAGUUUGCGUACAGUGAACCAUUUCCGCACGGGAAGAUUGAGUGUCCGACGAGUUGGUACGAACGCUAAGUGCAGGAUAGAUCGACUACUCGAAUUUCUCGGAAAGCUCGAGACUUUUGUAACCGAGUCGGUUCCUUUGGAACUGCAAGCGAUCGCAGGUGGUACCAUGAUGUGACGCCGAGUGCUCGUUUUCUUUUCAACUUUCGCACAGUUGUUACGUUUUUGACCUCGGUGUAUCUUUAGCUAAGAACAGGCAGCAACCAAUUAAAAGUCGAUGAAAGUCACAGUAAAAUUAGUAUCGUUCGUGAAAGGGAAUAUUUAAAAUGGAUAAAAAUCGAAAUUAAUGUACAAAAAACGUAAUGACUCGAAAAUAUCGGCUCGCCGAAGUCUGAAUUUUAUUUAGAAAAGACGAGUGCCUUGAAAUUCGGGAUAUGGACGGCGCUGCGAGGCAAGAAACGAAGAAAAAGGUGUGAGUGAAAUGUGGAAUGGUGAUUUCGAUGACAGUGGAAGGGACUGAAAUAGAAUUUCAAAUCGUGGUGCAGUGGAAAAAACGAUUGUCCGAGUUCGAAAAGAACGAUGUGCAUUUCGCGAACGGUCCACGAAGUAGUUGAUUGCGUGGAAGAGAACUGUUGAAGUCGCGGACGACGAUGACUAUACUUUGAAGAAGCAGGAUGCCAACGUUCUCCAAAAUGGACCGAACUCUCAUCUUCGUGCUAUUGAUAUCU